AAGUCGUAACAAGGUUUCCGUAGGUGAACCUGCGGAAGGAUCAUUCACAAUCAGUGUUUAAUGGCACUUGAAUCCAUUACCCACCUUGUGUGCAAUGUCGGGGAGGGGUUGUCUUUUCAACCCCUUCUUAUCAUUCAACCCUAGUUUUUCAUAUCAGUCUACAAGUAUCGAGUAUCAAAAAACUCUAAUACAACUUUCAACAACGGAUCUCUUGGCUCUC
rnacentral:misc_RNA from 1 species